rnacentral:lncRNA from 1 species
UUCCACUCUGUAAGAUGGGACUCUUCAUGAUCAGGCCCUAAAGAUGCACGGUCUCGACCAUAAGGAGCCUCAUCAGAAGUCUUCUUCAGAGAAGAGGAUCUAGAGAGUCCAGAGCUACUGUCCUUUUUAAGUCUAUAGGAAGCCAUGAAGCUAAUGAAAGAAGGAUAGAAACCUAAAAUGACUGAGAAAUCUGAGUCAAGGGAGCAAAAGAGAAGAAGGGAGGACUGGUUGAAGGACUUCUUACCAAGAACUCAGGCCAGAAGCUCUAGAAGUAGCUUGUCCGAGAAGAAAACCUCAAGAAUGGUAACAAUGUGAAAAAUAGGAGCCAAACCUAGGUUACAAAGUUAAAUAGGGGAUUACCAAUGGUUAAGAUCUUCCCACCAUCAUCAUUUGACAUGCAGGACGUCACC